CCUGAUUGGUCGGGCUACCCAGCAGUUCCUGGAAAUAGCCCCUCAGCAGACCGUACCCCAAACCGACACAGGUGGACUGGUAGAGAAUACCAAGGCGCUUGAGAGAACGAUGUUGAAGGAACUCGGCAAAAUACCUCCGUAAGUUCGCGAGAAGGAGGCCCGGUUUCUGGGCAACCAGAGGCCGAGGGCACAAACCAGGGGGUGGCGACUGUUUACUAAAAACACAGGGCUCUGCGAAGUCGCAAGACGACGUAUAGGGUCUGACGCCUGCCCGGUGCUGGAAGGUUAAAAGGAGGGGUGCAAGCUCCGAAUUGAAGCCCCAGUAAACGGCGGCCGUAACUAUAACGGUCCUAAGGUAGCGAAAUUCCUUGUCGGGUAAGUUCCGACCUGCACGAAUGGCGUAACGACUUCCCCGCUGUCUCCAACAUCGACUCAGCGAAAUUGAAUUGCCUGUCAAGAUGCAGGCUUCCCGCGGUUAGACGGAAAGACCCCGUGCACCUUUACUACAGCUUCACACUGGCAUCAGGUCAGGCAUGUGCAGGAUAGGUGGUAGACUUCGAAGCAGGGACGCUAGUUUCUGUGGAGUCAUCCUUGAGAUACCACCCUUGCCUUGCUUGAUGUCUAACCGCGGACCGUUAUCCGGUCCCGGGACCCUGUGUGGCGGGUAGUUUGACUGGGGCGGUCGUCUCCCAAAGAGUAACGGAGGCGCGCGAUGGUUGGCUCAGAGCGGUCGGAAAUCGCUCGUUGAGUGCAAUGGCAGAAGCCAGCCUGACUGCAAGACUGACAAGUCGAGCAGAGUCGAAAGACGGCCAUAGUGAUCCGGUGGUCCCGCGUGUAAGGGCCAUCGCUCAACGGAUAAAAGGUACGCCGGGGAUAACAGGCUGAUGGUGCCCAAGAGUCCAUAUCGACGGCACCGUUUGGCACCUCGAUGUCGGCUCAUCUCAUCCUGGGGCUGGAGCAGGUCCCAAGGGUAUGGCUGUUCGCCAUUUAAAGAGGUACGUGAGCUGGGUUUAGAACGUCGUGAGACAGUUCGGUCCCUAUCUGCCGUGGGUGUAGGAUACUUGAGAGGAGUUGCCCCUAGUACGAGAGGACCGGGGUGAACGAUCCACUGGUGGACCUGUUGUGGCGCCAGCCGCAGUGCAGGGUAGCUAUGAUCGGAUAGGAUAACCGCUGAAGGCAUCUAAGCGGGAAGCCCCCCUCAAAACCAGGUAUCCCUGAGGGCCGUGGAAGACGACCACGUCGAUAGGCCGGAGAUGUAAGCGGUGCGAGCCGUUCAGUUGACCGGUACUAAUUGCC
rnacentral:rRNA from 1 species